rnacentral:rRNA from 1 species
GACGAACGCUGGCGGCGUGCUUAACACAUGCAAGUCGAACGCUGAAGCCCUUUCGGGGGUGGAUGAGUGGCGAACGGGUGAGUAACACGUGGGUGAUCUGCCCUGCACUCUGGGAUAAGCAUUGGAAACGGGGUUUAAUACCGGAUAGGACACAUCGCCGCAUGGUGUGUGUGUGGAAAGUUCGGGGGGUGUAGGUUGAGCCUGCGGCCUAUCAGCUGGUUGGUGGGGUGGUGGCUUACCAAGGCGACGACGGGUAGCCGGCCUGAGAGGGUGACCGGCCACACUUAGACUGGGCCACGACCCAGACUCCUCCGGUAGUGAGCAGUGGCGAAUAUUGGGCAAUGGGCGGAAGCCUGAAGCAGCAUCGCCGCGUUAGUGAUGGCGACCUUAGGGUUGAGAACCUCUUACAGCACCGACGAAGCACAAGUGACGGUAGGUGCAGAAGAAGGACCGGCCAACUACGUGCCAGCAGCCGCCGUAA